AUGAGUGCUGCUCCCACCGGCGCCGUGGCCGGCGAAGAAAUCGACGAGACCACCUUUCGGGCUCAGGCUGAGAUGUCUGAGAUCAUGGUGUCGCUGCCGCGCUGCCCGGUGUACCUUACCCGCCAAUACCGCGGCUUCUGGAUCCGCGAGUUCGUUCUUGAGGGCAUGGCCGCCGUUCAGGCGUCCUUCGAGCCGAUGCCAACGGACGUCUUCCUCGCCAGCUGCCCCAAGUCCGGCACCACCUGGCUCAAGGCGCUCGCCUUCGCGACGCUCAACCGCGCCACGCACUCGCCGUCCGACUCCGACCACCCGCUCCGCCAUCACAACCCGCACGACUGCGUCGCCUUCCUCGAGACCAGGCCCGUACCCGAGACCAUGGCGCUCCCUUCACCCCGGCUGCUUGCAACCCACUUGCCCUACUCCCUGCUGCCCAGACGCAUAACGGAAUGCGGUCGGGUCGUCUACGUCUGCCGGGAGCCCAAGGACGCUAUGGUCUCCUUCUGGAUCUACAACAACAAGAUCGCGGCGGUGCUGCACCGGCAGCUCGGCCUGGAGUCCCCCUCGCCGACGUUCGAGGACGCGUUCGAGCUCUUCUGUAGGGGGCAGAGCAGCUCCGGACCGCACUGGCGCCACGCCCUAGAGUACUGGGAGGAGAGCCAGAGGAGGCCCGGGAAGGUGCUCUUCCUCAAGUACGAGGACAUGCUGCAAGACCUAAUCGGGAACGCGAUGAAUCGUUCAUGGGUGCCCAUUUUCAGGCGCCGAGGAGGAGGCUGGGGUGGUGCAGGAGAUCGUGCAGCUCUGCAGCUUCAAGGAACUCAAGAGCUCUGA
rnacentral:rRNA from 1 species